rnacentral:tRNA from 1 species
ACUCAAAUAGCUUAAAUUUUAAAGCAUAAUAUUGAAGUUAUUAUGAUGAGGCUAUCAGCUUCUUUGGGUG